AAGUCUAUAAAGAUGUGCUGGAGUCAAACAGUGUCCCAACCUCAUGCGUGUGAUGCAGCUAAAAACUUUCUGUCAAUAUAUUUGUGUUGAUGAUACCAAGGUUUCGUUGGUAUUGUCCCAUGUACAAGUGAAGGAGCAGUGACUACAUUAGAUGAGACUGGUUCUAUGUCCAGAGGACUCAAUUCGAGUUGUUUGUGAAGAAUGCUAUUGUUUAAGGAUACUAUUUUCAAAUAAAAUCUUUGGGCCAACUGUAAUCUACGCAAAACCAGAGGAGGAGAGACACAGUAUGAUGAUGGUUGCACAUUUAUCUCAAGAAAAGUUGGAAGGUGGUAACUACCCAUUGGGUCAUCAUGAACAUACCAAUUGCAAAGAUGAGCAAUAGAAGAACUAGUAAGAGCCAAAUCUAAUGCAGCAGCCUGUCUACCAGGAUAAGGGACCGUUGUUGUAGAUCCAUCAUUUAAAAUGCAUAAAUCACAAUCAUCUAUAAGGUUAAACAAGCAUUUACCCCUAUUGUUGUCAUAAUUAGAUCCAAAAGCCAUGUGAUGAGCAUUAAAAUCACCCAUUAUAACACAAGGCCUUGGUAAGGAAUUUAUAAGUCUCUUCAAUUUUAAAUCAUCAAA
rnacentral:lncRNA from 1 species